AAAUUGAAGAGUUUGAUCAUGGCUCAGAUUGAACGCUGGCGGCAGGCCUAACACAUGCAAGUCGAGCGGAAACGAGAAUAGCUUGCUAUUCGGCGUCGAGCGGCGGACGGGUGAGUAAUGCCUGGGAAAUUGCCCUGAUGUGGGGGAUAACCAUUGGAAACGAUGGCUAAUACCGCAUGAUGCCUUCGGGCCAAAGAGGGGGACCUUCGGGCCUCUCGCGUCAGGAUAUGCCCAGGUGGGAUUAGCUAGUUGGUGAGGUAAAGGCUCACCAAGGCGACGAUCCCUAGCUGGUCUGAGAGGAUGAUCAGCCACACUGGAACUGAGACACGGUCCAGACUCCUACGGGAGGCAGCAGUGGGGAAUAUUGCACAAUGGGCGCAAGCCUGAUGCAGCCAUGCCGCGUGUAUGAAGAAGGCCUUCGGGUUGUAAAGUACUUUCAGCAGUGAGGAAGGGUGUGAGGUUAA
rnacentral:rRNA from 1 species